GGCUCGUUGGUCUAGGGGUAUGAUUCUUGCUUUGGGUGCGAGAGGUCCCGGGUUCAUAUCCCGGACAAGCCC
rnacentral:tRNA from 1 species